rnacentral:lncRNA from 1 species
AAGCCAUAAAACCCGGUCAACGCGACUGGGAACCGGCGAAGUCGGCUUGUGUGUGCUCAAAACACUUUGCACUUGAACACUUCAAUCGGGCGUCGCCGCUGGUAGUUCGCCUCCACGAGGAUGCCGUCCCUGCCCCGACACCCCUUUCACAGCAGCGAGGAGGUGGUGCAGGUACCGCUGCGACUGCUCAGCAGGAUACCCAGCCAGAAAUGACAGCCCUGAGUAGCCCUCCUGGAGCCUCUCCGCAGCAACAGGGACCUAUGGAUUUAAGUGAAAUCCCAGAGACCCCGCCAGGCCUAUCACAACAGGAACCUGUGGAUGUCGCUGACAGCGAGGAGUCUCUGCCGAGCCUAUCACAACAGGAGCCUAUGGAUGUUGCUGACAGCCAGGAGACUCUGCCAGACCCAUCACAACAGGUACUUUACAUUC